rnacentral:rRNA from 1 species
UACGGGGGGGGCAAGCGUUGUUCGGAAUUACUGGGCGUAAAGGGCGCGUAGGCGGUCUACUAAGUUGGAUGUGAAAACUCUGGGCUUAACCCAGAGCCUGCAUUCAAAACUGAUAGGCUGGAGUUCUGGAGGGGAUAGCGGAAUUCCUGGUGUAGCGGUGAAAUGCGUAGAUAUCAGGAGGAACACUGGUGGCGAAGGUGGCGAUCUGGACAGAAACUGACGCUGAGGCGCGAAAGCUAGGGGAGCAAACAGG